AUGGGGGCGGUGGUGACCGCGGUGAUCGCGAUCGCUGCGGUGGUGCUGGGCUGGAUCACCAUCGAGAUGGCCUGCAAGCCCUGCCUCGAGACCGGCCGCCGCGCCAUGGACCGUGCCCUCGACCCCAACUACGACCCCGACGACUCCCCCGCAGCCAACUCCACCGCGCCACCCACUAGGGAGCCGCUACUCGCCGACCUCUCUGCCUCCGCCGCCGCGCCAGCCAAGGCCAUCUGA
rnacentral:rRNA from 1 species